rnacentral:rRNA from 1 species
GAUGAACGCUGGCGGCGUGCUUAACACAUGCAAGUCGAACGAAGCACUUUAUUUGAUUUCCUUCGGGACUGAUUAUUUUGUGACUGAGUGGCGGACGGGUGAGUAACGCGUGGGUAACCUGCCUUGUACAGGGGGAUAACAGUUGGAAACGGCUGCUAAUACCGCAUAAGCGCACAGCAUCGCAUGAUGCAGUGUGAAAAACUCCGGUGGUAUAAGAUGGACCCGCGUUGGAUUAGCUAGUGGGUGAGGUAACGGCCCACCAAGGCGACGAUCCAUAGCCGAGCUGAGAGGGUGCCCGGCCACAUUGGAACUGAGACACGGCCCAAACUCGUACGGGAGGGAGCAGUGGGGAAUAUUGCACAAUGGGCGCAAGCCUGAUGCAGCGACGCCGCGUGAGCGAAGAAGUAUUUCGGUAUGUAAAGCUCUAUCAGCAGGGAAGAUAAUGACGGUACCUGACUAAGAAGCACCGGCUAACUACGUG